rnacentral:rRNA from 1 species
AACGAACGCUGGCGGCAUGCCUAACACAUGCAAGUCGAACGAGACCUUCGGGUCUAGUGGCGCACGGGUGCGUAACGCGUGGGAACCUGCCCUUAGGUUCGGAAUAACUCCCCGAAAGGGGUGCUAAUAACGGAUAAUGUCUUCGGACCAAAGAUUUAUCGCCUUUGGAUGGGCCCGCGUUGGAUUAGCUAGUUGGUAGGGUAAAAGCCUACCAAGGCGACGAUCCAUAGCUGGUCUGAGAGGAUGAUCAGCCACACUGGGACUGAGACACGGCCCAGACUCCUACGGGAGGCAGCAGUGGGGAAUAUUGGACAAAGGGCGAAAGCCUGAUCCAGCAAUGCCGCGUGAGUGAUGAAGGCCUUAGGGAUGUAAAGCUCUUUUACCCGGGAUGAUAAUGACAGUACCGGGAGAAUAAGCUCCGGCUAACUCCGUG